CCGCGGAGUGUGCGCGGAGGCGGGGGGCCGCGCCCGCGGAAGGGCAGCGCCGCCGGCCGGCCCCUGCCCGCCCCGGGAGCCGCAGGCAGCCAGGAGCCAGGAAUCACGGCGGGCCAUCCCCCCACGUCUCCCUCCAGCCGCGGCCGCUCACAGCCUUUCUGUCUCUGCUCGUUUUGUCGGCACAACCUGCUGAGACCAGGAUCAGCGUGAGUGUGAUUGGCAGGAGCUCCGGCUAAGGGAAACCUCAGGAGCCUUCUUGCCUCGGGCAGUCUCCUGAAGAUGUGGCGAUGGGCUGGGAUCGUGCAUCAGCGAUCAGCAGUUUUUGCUGCCUUGUCUGUAAGCCGAGCGUGGGCUGGCGCCUCCGCAGGGAUGCAGAGUGGGGAGCACCGGGAGGGGAAGCCCCGGCAUGGCUGGGUUCCUCAAAAUGCAGCGUGAUAGCGGGGUGAGAGGCCUCUCCCAGCAGCCGAGGACAGCUGACACGGAUGAACCCUCUUCCAAAGGGAAUAAAACAGACGUAAUUGAGCAUGUUAUUCUGCAGCUGCAAAUAACUCACUGAAGAGAAUCGAAGGAAACACGUUUCUUUGAUUAGAAUAUUUUUUCUCAUUGACAGGAUGUUCAAAAUAAAGCAAAAAUAUUUGAUGCACAGAGCCUGUGGCAGUAUCAAGUUAGCACUGGCGUGCUCACGCAUUUUACUUCAUGUUUACUAAUCAAUCAAAAAAGACUCUUGCUAGAAAGAAAGGUCACGUCUUUCAUCACAAAACUGAAACUUUUUGACAGCAACACUUGGAAUUUUACCAUUCUGUUCAAUGCAGGUUUCAGCGCAGGGAACGAACACCCAAGGCGGCAGGAUGGUGGGUAUGGGAUUAGAUAAACAAGCAGAGCUGUGCUUUCUAAAUGUUGGGUGCCACUUACUCUGAAUAAGGAUGCUGUCUCAGCUGUAUCAAGAUAUGAUAUGUCAUGGGUUUAGCUGGGAUAGAGUUAAUUUUCUUCACCAUAGCUGGCACAGUGCUUUGGACAUAGUACGAGAACAAUGCUGAUAACACACCGAUGGUUUGGCUGUUGCUGGGCAGCGCUUGUACUAGUCAAGGGCUUUUCCAGCCUCCCGUGCUCUGCCGGGGGCACAAGGAGCCGGGAGGGGAGGGGGCACAGCUAAGAGAGGGGAUCCAAACUGGCCAAAGGGAUAUUCCACAUCAUGUAACGUCAUGCCCAGUGUGUUACCUGGGAGGGGCUGGCCGGGGGAGGGAGGCAGCAAUCGCGGCUCGGGGACGGGCAGCGUCGGUCAGCGGGUGGUGAGUGGGUGUAUCGCUUGUGGUUUUGUCUUUUUCCUUUUUAACCUUUUCUAUUUUAUUAUAUUAUCAUUAUUGUUAUUAUUAUCAUAAUCAUUAUUAUCAUUAUUAUUUUAUUUUAAUUCUUAAACUGUUCUUAUCUCACCAGGGUUUUUUUUGUGCUUUUGCUCUUCCGACUCUCUCCCCCAUCCCACAGGGGUGGGGGGAGCGAGCAAGCGGCUGCGCGGUGUUCAGCUGGCCGACUGGGGCUGAACCACGACAGAUGCUAUUCUAAAACAGUGGUAUAUAAGUUUGAAUUAUUUGGAGACGAGGCUAAAUAGUGUUUGGGUGGGUAGGUAUUGGUGUGCAGUUUUGGCUCAAAGACAACUGUGCAUGUCUGAGGCAGGGUGCUGUAUGAGGAGCUGGCCUGCAGGGCAUGCGAGCAACCUGCAGAGUGUUACACCAUGUUCCUCUUCUCUAUACUCUUCUCUGUUUUAUCUCAGGACAGAAACAAACUCUCUAUGCCUCUACCAUGGCCUUCUAGUUCUGUUCUUUCUCUGAAAAUGUUUUUAAAGACCUGUGUCUUGAUAAAGUGAAUUUUCUUGGCAGUUGGAAAAAAAAGUACAGUGUUUUCCCAGAUAGAAAAUACAGCCUGAUAGUUUCACAAGCAAAACAAUUUUUUUCUUCUCUCCCUUUCCUGUUUCUUCUGCUACAAGCGGAGAAGCAGCCCUGCUGUCCUUCCUCAGCUGGGUAAGGGAAUCUCUGCGAGGUAAGGGGCUGCGAGCAGAUGUGGCCAGACAACACCGCUCAGCGCUCGUCUUCACAGCUUCCUUGGCUCUUCCGUGAGUUACAAGCAUGCCCUUGAAAGAGCAGGGGUGAAACCAGAGAAGUGACCGUGAAAUAUCACCAGGUUUAUUGCCUUUCCUUCCCCUCCACUGGUUCCACAGGCUUCAGCCACCUCCAAGGAGUCUCCCAGGCAGUGACAAUAACAGGACCCAGACUUAGCCCUGGCCAGGAUUUACACCCUUGGGCUCCUGGAGAGAUCGUUGAUAUGAAAAAAUGCAUAUGUUGCCUGCAGCUAUAGCACAUAUUGCAUGGCAUGACACGCACAUAAGUGAGAUUAAUUUGAGUUCUGGGCAUCAUUAGCUCAAUUAAAACUGUGAUUUUUUUUAGUUCAGACCUACAGGCCAUUGCGGAGAAGUGUAAUCAUAAGACAGAAACAAGUUCCCUAGUUAAAAAUUAAUUCCCUAGACUAAAAAUAUAAUCAAACGAUGUCUACAGUAUUUUAUGAAGAGCUGAGAGGAUAAUAAAAUUUAAAGCAGUGCAACAUUUGCAUUUUGUUCAUUUCUAUCCAUAUUUUUCCAUCGACUGCCUUUCUGUGUGCUUGUUAAUCAUAUGCACUGCUACAGUCCUGGCAUUUUAAGAUCACUGUUCACAUCAAGAUUGAAAGGAAACUAAUUACAAUCACAUUUCAGGCUGGUUGCUUAAAGCUCGUACAGCGCUGACUACAGCACAGGAGCCUUGACCUUUAUUUGUAAGCAUGAAAAUAAGGUAAAGAUGAAAGCUUGCUUUUCCUGCAGCUUGUAUGCAGGGAUCAGGAGGCCCUCUGGAGAAGCAGAAAUGUGGUAAGUCCCCACACCAUCUCUCUCCUCGCCUCCUCUCCCAUGCUGGCAGCAGAGGCCAGUAGUGCUAUGCAGAAGCUGUGCUCCGCUGCAGGGAGAGGUGAACGAAGGCACCACGUUGUUUUGCAGCUCUCCCUCGGGCUGCUGGAAGAACAUGCAAUGAAUUAGCAGACCCGAGGAGUCUGUUGUUCUGACCCCAGCCCAGAGCUUUUUAGUUAAUGGUUUGCUUCGCCUCGCUCUGCACACCACGCUCAUGAGAUGAUCGAGGUAUCAACACGUGCAGGCUACCUGUGGGCGAGACCCGCAAGCAGUACUGUGAUCUCUUCUGACACUCGUGUUGUGGCUUAAUAACACUAAUAGGAUCUAGGUGGAUGCAUCGGGGCAGAAAAAGGUCCCCCCUAACCAGGGGAAGUACAGGUAAUCCUAAUGUUCUCCCUGAUUUCACUAAAUGUGAAUGCAUUUAGAGCCUGCUGAACGGCAAAUUUAUUCAGCAGGUUUCGCCUGCUUCUUUGUCCCCAAAUUAUCAAAAUUAUAAUUUUAAUAAAUGUGUACUAUGCUCAAAAUAAACCGAGAGGUAGUUACACAAACAGGUUUCAGCCCAGGAGCUGCUGAUGCGGUGUCUGAAUGCUCCUUUCAGUAUCAUUACCCAGCGUUCGAAGCCUUGCCAUGGUAAGCGCCGACCCCCAAAGGAUCUCCUGAGCUUGCAUCCUCCCUGGGUUAUCGCAGCUCUGCACCGAAAUGAGUUCAUUGAAGAAAGGUGCACCAGCACUGAACUGAAGCGAUCCUAUUCUCCUCUUGUAUGCAGUGCUGUAUUCACCCUACACAACCAUUUCAUUUGCCAGGCUCCUUUUUUCUAGCAGAAAUCACUGUUGGAGCCCUGAGGAUCGGUGGGUUUAUUGGCAGUAUCAGCCAGGUAAUUUGUAUCUCCUGGUUGGAAAAGCUCUAUUUAGGGCAUUAAGCAAUGAAAGAAGGGAAACUCAUCUCACGCUGACUCAGAAAACCCUCCCAACCCACAACCAUCGCUAGGCAUACCGCAGGCAGAGGACCCUGCUUGCCCGGUCCGUGCUGAGGACGCAGACCUCGGCGUGGUCGCUGCUGGGGACCCGGUUGCCAUUUGAGCCGAGAAGCAAAGAUGGUUUCCAAAGCACAUUUGUGGUGUAUUCUGCUUCUGUCUACAUUCCUCAACGCAAAAAUUUACUCAUGCAAAUAUUUACAGAAACUAGAGAAAAAAAAAAAAAAAAAACUAGUGAAAGCUGCUGCAGUGAACUUCUAAUUACAAUCCACAAAGUGUUUAUGAAUAAAUUUAUCUAUUAUUUGUCUAGUUCUAGCACUGCGUAUACUUUGCCUUGUACCAUUACAGGCUGAAGGAAACAAUAUGCAGCAUGAAAAUGAAAACAAUUUGACUUAAUUAUUUACACCAUUACCACCCCUUUGAAUUAGGCCCUCUAUUUCUUUGGUAUUUUGUAAAAUUUAACUGGUAAUUACGCUUGCUUAAUUCAUUUUAUUUAUCUACUACUACAAUAAGAUCAAAACAAAAAACCUACCAGAAUGCAAAGUGCCAGCUAUGUCCCCUAAUUGUAAAUGUUGCUUUUAAGCUUUUAUGAUAAAAAUGUAGUAUUUGGUGCCAUUUCAUUUAAAGUGUAUCUGGCUGUGCUCCAAUACUAUUUAAGCAUAAACAGGAAAAGCCUUGGAGGACAAGUAAUCAUACUUAAAUGACACAAAGAUCAUUAAAAUAAUGUUCCAAAAACAUGGCAAAAUUAGAUGUUGCAAGACUGUUUUCUUCUCUGAAGUGUUUCACCAGAUGGUGAAGAGUGCUGAAAUAGUAGAUCUGAGUGAGAAGGAAAAACAUUUCAACAGUUUUCUCACGCUAGCGCCAUACAGCGUGCACAGCUCUCAUCUGAGCUUGUCUGAAGUGGCAUCUCACACCUUGGCUUAAUCAAACGUUCCAGCUCCAGAUAACAUCGAGGUGUUCAAGUGAGGCUCAGUGCUGAAUCACAGUUUUGGGAAAUCCCUGCUUUAUUCUGUUAAAGUUGUCAGCCAGAUUUAUUCAGAGAUGAGAACAAAUGAGCGUGUCAGCAUAAGUUAUUGUGGUAAUUUGCGAAACUCUUAAUGAGAUAUUUUCAGUGCUCAUAAAAAAGAAGAGCCAUGUCAUUAAAUUACUGCACAAUAAGUGCAUUUUGAUACAGGAAGAGUUGGGUUUUUAUCAGAAGUGACACCCUGCGUCGGUGGGGAUCCAUCAGUGAGCUGUUAGUAUUUAAAUACAAGGGUCUAACAGCCAUCUCAGAAAGUCAGCGCUUGUUCAUACAUAUGGGAAAGUGUUUGUAUAUGUUAGCUACUGUGUGAAAUGGCCACAGGUGAGGUGACUCUGCACCUUUAUUACUAAGACUUUACAAGGUUCCUUACUACAGGACUUGUUAUGCCUCCAGAUAUCAUUAGUUUUUCACUAGCUUUUUCACUUUUUUUUUUUUUAAUAAAACCCUCUAAUCUUGUUACUUAAAUAUUUAUAGGAAAUUAUCCUGUCUUGGCUAGGGGUUUCUACUUUUAGGAAUACUGGCGAUCUCCCAGUACACCACCACCUCCCCCACCCUGGCCAUCCAUCACCUACUGAACAAGGUGUAACAUUUGGAGGUCCUGAAAUCACCAGUGGUUUCUGCUGACCCGUUACCAACCCUAGCUCUCUGUGGAAAGGCCUGUCACAUCCUAGGAGGUAGCCAUAAAAGUACUGGAGAUACAAAGGCACAGUGGGGACAAGAUCUGUCCUCUGGAGGAGAGGAUUUCUCAUCAGCUGAGAACAAGUGGCUGGGCCAAAUGAUGGGCAAGAGUGUGUAAAUGCACUUCCAAGGUCCCCACCUUCCAGAAACGCUGGGUUUCUCAACCAUUUCCUGGGGAACGGUGGCAAAAUCAAAUCCACAGAGAAACUCAGCCAUUUUAAGUAAAAGAGCCUGAAAUGGAAGGUGACUUCAUUCCUGAUUGGCAGUCAUUCUGGUUCCAUGCUGAGCAAGGGAACAGCCUCUUAUUCACUAUAUUACAAAUAACUUUGCACUGAGUACUCGUAAUGUCCAAAUAACAGCCUGCAUGAUGCAGUUGGUAUACUUCCAUUAUACAGAGUUAGCAAUAAAAAAUGAAGAAAAAAUCCCCCACCACUUUCCAUAUACCCCCAUUCAAUGAACAUUCAGAAGAGGGGCUUGCAGACUGGAAAGGAUGAAUAUAAUUUUAGCAAUCCAAUUGAUCGGUUUACAUUCAGCUCAUCUGCUGAAGGAAAAAGCUUGGUGUGGGUGGUUUUCCAUAGCCUGUGUUAAAUGAAAGGCUGAUUUUAGCCCACUUCCUUGGGGACAGGUGACCGUUCGAUGAGCAGACACUGUAGAUGACAUUAACUAUUGUCCCUACCAUCCUUCUCAGGUGGUUGCAUCGGCAUAGGAUGGAAAGUGUCCCACAGUCUUAAAAACUAGCUGAUCUCUGAACAGCUGAGAGCUUGCGCUGAUCCCCGAUGUUAUUUCCAAGCUAAAUAACCGGGGAGAGCUGGGUCUCAGGAACACUCUGUGCCUCAGUUUCCCAUCUGUAAAAUAGUAAUACAAGGACAUUAGUAAAACAUCGCUGUAUUUUCCCCUCGUAUGGAUCGUUUUCUUUUUAGAAGGGCUUGUCUAGGAACACCAAAUCUUUCUGAAAGCUUGAUUUACAAAAAAACCCUUGACAACCGUUGGUAAAUUCUCUGUCGUCACCAAGGCAAAGCCUUUAUUCUCCAGUCUGAGCUUAAUUAUGUUUCUGGAACUGUAUCACGUAGGCCUAGAUGAAAUUCUUGCUUUCUUUUCAAGAAAGUCGCUCUACGUUUGCAUUUGCUUUGACAGAAGCGACUUUUCUCAGUACUACGGUGCCAAUAUGGAGUGCUUAAAAUUGCAAAGCUCAGUUGUACAUCUAUUUUAUAUUCUACCUAAAUUCUAGGCAAAAUAUAAUUUCUUAUACUUAAAUACUAAUGCCUCUGAGAGAGAAAAAAAAGCCUGGAUUGAGUAGAAGAUAUAUUGAAAUCAAAUCCUUUAACGUGCUAUGCCGCUAAGAAAAGAGCUCCGUCUCCACCAGCCAGCAGAGGUUGCUCCGAUGUUAAUGAUUAAUCAUGGAACUUAUUUUCAGUAAUAAAGCAUAUAAAGGAAAUCAAACACAAAUAUUUAAAUGAUUAAAUGAUCUAUGAAUGAGAAUGAUAUGAAAUGCGCUAUGUGUGAGUAGCUUGUGAAGCAGCAGUCCCUAGCCUAUGUCUUGGGGACAACCUGCUGCCCACGGGGUGUUCCGAUGCCGUGGUGCAGCCACGGCAGCCAGGCAGGCUCCAGGAAGAGCGGAGCUUUGCCAGCACAUCACUUGGCCAAUCCUGCUUCCCGUGAGAUGGUGAGAACUGGGAUUCCUGUUUUAGCAUAUAAAUUUUCUCAGUCCGGCCCUUAAAAAUCGAGGUUUUGUUCAAUGA